AUCAAGUCACACAUCAUCAUUGAAUAAAAUAUAAACAUUAAAAGCACAACCAAGAAAAUAAGAGAAUAAAAGAAAAUAUAGAAAAACUCAAGAAUUGUGUUCUUGAUCUCCAAAUCUCCUUGAAUUCUGCAAAUUCUUCUUACUUCAAUGACUCUGUGCCUUGACUCUCCAAUGUCAAUCUGGUGUUUUCUUCUCCCUUAAGUCCUCCGAAAGGU
rnacentral:lncRNA from 1 species